AUGGUUUUGCGGGUAAUCACUGCUGAUGUAGCAAUACACCAGGAGAGGAAAGUCCGGGCUUCAAAGAGCAACGUCUGGGGUAACGCCCCUCUACCGUAAGGUAAGGAACAGUGGAACAGAAAGAAUAUCCGAGACUAUGAUCCUUAGAUCGGGAACGGGAGAUUUAAGGGGAGUUGGCGGAGUGAAAACAGCUAAACUCGACGUGAAGCAAGAUCAAAUAGGGAAACAUUGUAAAGGUAACUUUACAUAACAGCGGCUCGCUAGUGGUUUCCGGGUCAGAUCGCUUGAGCCUUAGAGUAAUUUAAGGCCUAGAGGAAUGCUUACCGAAGUGUGUGAGGAUUUUGGGAACAAACACAUGGAACAGAACUCGGCUUAUAGCAAAACCAACCCA
rnacentral:RNase_P_RNA from 1 species